UCGCCAGUGCUCUACAUCGCAAAACCCUA
rnacentral:piRNA from 1 species